rnacentral:lncRNA from 1 species
UGCCUCCAACCCUCUUAUGGCCCAAGCUGGUGGAAGCCUCCUCAUAGGUCUCUGGACCCUCCAUCGCCGCUGUAGCAUCAACCUCUGACGCAUACACCUCUAGGCCAACUCCUGGUGCUCGCUCACCACUGCCUGAGCAACUAGGAAACUCCACCUCCCUCUGCACCUCCCUACCUAGAGCCUGUGCCAUGGCCAUGGACUUUUUCAUCAUCC